rnacentral:rRNA from 1 species
UACGUAGGUGGCACGCGUUAUCCGGAUUUAUUGGGCGUAAAGGGAACGCAGGCGGUCUUUUAAGUCUGAUGUGAAAGCCUUCGGCUUAACCGGAGUAGUGCAUUGGAAACUGGGAGACUUGAGUGCAGAAGAGGAGAGUGGAACUCCAUGUGUAGCGGUGAAAUGCGUAGAUAUAUGGAAGAACACCAGUGGCGAAAGCGGCUCUCUGGUCUGUAACUGACGCUGAGGUUCGAAAGCGUGGGUAGCAAACAGG